CGGCGUUUUAUUGAUGAGAACAAGGCAGAAGACUGAGAGGUGACAGCUGUGCUUGAGAUACAGGAAUGUACACGAUGGCGUUUGUGAGUGUGUCUUCAUGUGUGUGUGUUUGUGUGUGAGG